GCAACCGUUCUGUUGUUCUCCUCAACUGCCGUCCUCUCCACCGCCCCUGAUCUCUCACGAUGGGGUAGUAGCAUCGCCGUCUUCCUCGUGCCUCAUGGCCUCCGUCUCGAUCCGGUGUUGUGCUAUCCGGGAACCCUAUCCCAUCCGAGGAGAAGGCCCUCGAGCAAGAGCGUGAGAUCCUCCCUUGCUGCGCUGCCGCCUCGCGGCUCUUCCCCCAGCCCUUGACCGUCGGUGCCCCUCUGUCUGUUCGGCCCCUCCAUCAAGGGUCAAGAAUCCUUCCAACGUCCUCCUCCUCCCGCCGCCGCCUCCCCUGGCGCUUUUGUUCAGCGGCGCCGCCUCCGAAUCCGCUGUAGAUCGCGAAGGGGGUCACGGAAAUCCUCUUGAUCGCCCACGUGAGUGCGCCGUUCGUCUCCGUCCGGAACUGGUCGGUGGCCGGCAGUUGCCGCAGGCCGGCGCGUUGGCCGUCUUCCUAAAGUCGGCGUGAGGUUCGAUAAGGUCUACAGCUCUCCCGCCCUUGGAUUGGGCGAGGGCCACUGCGGCCUCUUGCCAGAAGUUUCAGGAGAAUCUCUUAGGUAGCUGGUGCUUCGGAUCACUGAAUUUCUGAACAGGACAGUCCUAUGAUUGCCUGAAAAGCUGGCAGUUGCUAAUACAUCAAUCGAUCAAAAUGAGCCGAAAGAGCUCUCACGUAACAGACGAGCUAAUUCCCUUGAGGAUCUUCUUUACACCCUUGAUCGACCAGCUCUCCAGAGGUAAAGAUCUGGUAAUAGCAAACUUCGGUUUGUAAGUCGUAAUGACAACAAGAUUCACAAAGAGUUCUCGGACAGAGAAGUAACUCGAUGAAACCUCCUCCUGGGUGGCAGUGGAAACCUCAACUUUUCCAUUGGGAUGUUCGUUCAUGCAAUUCCAAUUAAACGUCUUCUCACCGGCCCAGCUGGCUUAAUGCAGUCCCGGUUUGAUGAUUCACAAAGAAAAGGAUGGCAGAUAAGGACCUCAACGAUACAGCACAUUUCAAGCUUCUUUAGACCAUGACAAAGGAUGUUGUACCAGAACUAUAUUCUUGCCUAGGUUAUGCCUUGUGUUAUGAAUGGAGAAAGUUCCAUGACUCACUCGGUUCUCGAAUUAUUUGGUCGUGUGAGAUGAUUUCCCUGAUGUGAAGCACGACAAGAAUACUCGUAUGUAUGUAUGUAUGUAUUCAACUUUGUGUUCCAUCACUAGCUUUUAAGUACACAGGACCGGGGAGAGGAUGAUGACCUUUGAAUCCUUUAUAUCAUCAAUCAAUUGGAGGUGCAAUUUGCGUGUUCUUUGUA